GACGAACCGUGCGAACGUUGUUCGGAUUCACUGGGCUUAAAGGGCGCGUAGGCGGGCCGCGUAGUCGGUGGUGAAAUCUUUCGGCUCAACCGGAAAAUCGCCUCCGAUACUGGCGGCCUCGAGGGGGGUAGGGGCAUGCGGAACUUCGGGUGGAGCGGUGAAAUGCGUAGAUAUCCGAAGGAACGCCGGUGGCGAAAGCGGCGUGCUGGACCCCUUCUGACGCUGAGGCGCGAAAGCCAGGGGAGCGAACGGG
rnacentral:rRNA from 1 species